UGGGGAAUUUUGGACAAUGGGGGAAACCCUGAUCCAGCCAUCCCGCGUGUGCGAUGAAGGCCUUCGGGUUGCAAAGCACUUUUGGCAGGAAAGAAACGUCGCGGGUUAAUACCCCGCGAAACUGACGGUACCUGCAGAAUAAGCACCGGCUAACUACGUGCCAGCAGCCGCGGUAAUACGUAGGGUGCAAGCGUUAAUCGGAAUUACUGGGCGUAAAGCGUGCGCAGGCGGUUCGGAAAGAAAGAUGUGAAAUCCCAGAGCUUAACUUUGGAACUGCAUUUUUAACUACCGGGCUAGAGUGUGUCAGAGGGAGGUGGAAUUCCGCGUGUAGCAGUGAAAUGCGUAGAUAUGCGGAGGAACACCGAUGGCGAAGGCAGCCUCCUGGGAUAACACUGACGCUCAUGCACGAAAGCGUGGGGAGCAAACAGGAUUAGAUACCCUGGUAGUCCACGCCCUAAACGAUGUCAACUAGCUGUUGGGGCCUUCGGGCCUUGGUAGCGCAGCUAACGCGUGAAGUUGACCGCCUGGGGAGUACGGUCGCAAGAUUAAAACUCAAAGGAAUUGACGGGGUC
rnacentral:rRNA from 1 species